rnacentral:rRNA from 1 species
GUCCUACGGGACGCAGCAGUGGGGAAUAUUGGGCAAUGGACGCAAGUCUGACCCAGCAACGCCGCGUGAAGGAAGAAGGCUUUCGGGUUGUAAACUUCUUUUAAGGGGGAAGAGCAGAAGACGGUACCCCUUGAAUAAGCCACGGCUAACUACGUGCCAGCAGCCGCGGCAAUACGUAGGUGGCAAGCGUUGUCCGGAUUUACUGGGUGUAAAGGGCGGGCAGCCGGAGAGACAAGUCAGAUGGUAAAUCCACGGGCUCAACCCGUGACCUGCAUUGGAAACUGUUUCCCUUGAGU